rnacentral:rRNA from 1 species
AGUAGCUCACGUAAGGGAUGGACGGCAGGGUCAAAUGUUUAUAAGAGCAAGACACACUAUCAUUAACUGAAUCCAUAGGUUAAUGAGGCGAACCGGGGGAACUGAAACAUCUAAGUACCCCGAGGAAAAGAAAUCAACCGAGAUUCCCCCAGUAGCGGCGAGCGAACGGGGAGGAGCCCAGAGCCUGAAUCAGUGUGUGUGUUAGUGGAAGCGUCUGGAAAGGCGCGCGAUACAGGGUGACAGCCCCGUACACAAAAAUGCACAUGCUGUGAGCUCGAUGAGUAGGGCGGGACACGUGGUAUCCUGUCUGAAUAUGGGGGGACCAUCCUCCAAGGCUAAAUACUCCUGACUGACCGAUAGUGAACCAGUACCGUGAGGGAAAGGCGAAAAGAACCCCGGCGAGGGGAGUGAAAAAGAACCUGAAACCGUGUACGUACAAGCAGUGGGAGCACAGAGCAAUCUGUGUGACUGCGUACCUUUUGUAUAAUGGGUCAGCGACUUAUAUUCUGUAGCAAGGUUAACCGAAUAGGGGAGCCGAAGGGAAACCGAGUCUUAACUGGGCGUUAAGUUGCAGGGUAUAGACCCGAAACCCGGUGAUCUAGCCAUGGGCAGGUUGAAGGUUGGGUAACACUAACUGGAGGACCGAACCGACUAAUGUUGAAAAAUUAGCGGAUGACUUGUGGCUGGGGGUGAAAGGCCAAUCAAACCGGGAGAUAGCUGGUUCUCCCCGAAAGCUAUUUAGGUAGCGCCUCGUGAAUUCAUCUCCGGGGGUAGAGCACUGUUUCGGCAAGGGGGUCAUCCCGACUUACCAACCCGAUGCAAACUGCGAAUACCGGAGAAUGUUAUCACGGGAGACACACGGCGGGUGCUAACGUCCGUCGUGAAGAGGGAAACAACCCAGACCGCCAGCUAAGGUCCCAAAGUCAUGGUUAAGUGGGAAACGAUGUGGGAAGGCCCAGACAGCCAGGAUGUUGGCUUAGAAGCAGCCAUCAUUUAAAGAAAGCGUAAUAGCUCACUGGUCGAGUCGGCCUGCGCGGAAGAUGUAACGGGGCUAAACCAUGCACCGAAGCUGCGGCAGCGACACUGUGUGUUGUUGGGUAGGGGAGCGUUCUGUAAGCCUGUGAAGGUGUGCUGUGAGGCAUGCUGGAGGUAUCAGAAGUGCGAAUGCUGACAUAAGUAACGAUAAAGCGGGUGAAAAGCCCGCUCGCCGGAAGACCAAGGGUUCCUGUCCAACGUUAAUCGGGGCAGGGUGAGUCGACCCCUAAGGCGAGGCCGAAAGGCGUAGUCGAUGGGAAACAGGUUAAUAUUCCUGUACUUGGUGUUACUGCGAAGGGGGGACGGAGAAGGCUAUGUUGGCCGGGCGACGGUUGUCCCGGUUUAAGCGUGUAGGCUGGUUUUCCAGGCAAAUCCGGAAAAUCAAGGCUGAGGCGUGAUGACGAGGCACUACGGUGCUGAAGCAACAAAUGCCCUGCUUCCAGGAAAAGCCUCUAAGCAUCAGGUAACAUCAAAUCGUACCCCAAACCGACACAGGUGGUCAGGUAGAGAAUACCAAGGCGCUUGAGAGAACUCGGGUGAAGGAACUAGGCAAAAUGGUGCCGUAACUUCGGGAGAAGGCACGCUGAUAUGUAGGUGAAGUCCCUCGCGGAUGGAGCUGAAAUCAGUCGAAGAUACCAGCUGGCUGCAACUGUUUAUUAAAAACACAGCACUGUGCAAACACGAAAGUGGACGUAUACGGUGUGACGCCUGCCCGGUGCCGGAAGGUUAAUUGAUGGGGUCAGCGCAAGCGAAGCUCUUGAUCGAAGCCCCGGUAAACGGCGGCCGUAACUAUAACGGUCCUAAGGUAGCGAAAUUCCUUGUCGGGUAAGUUCCGACCUGCACGAAUGGCGUAAUGAUGGCCAGGCUGUCUCCACCCGAGACUCAGUGAAAUUGAACUCGCUGUGAAGAUGCAGUGUACCCGCGGCAAGACGGAAAGACCCCGUGAACCUUUACUAUAGCUUGACACUGAACAUUGAGCCUUGAUGUGUAGGAUAGGUGGGAGGCUUUGAAGUGUGGACGCCAGUCUGCAUGGAGCCGACCUUGAAAUACCACCCUUUAAUGUUUGAUGUUCUAACGUGGACCCGUGAUCCGGGUUGCGGACAGUGUCUGGUGGGUAGUUUGACUGGGGCGGUCUCCUCCUAAAGAGUAACGGAGGAGCACGAAGGUUGGCUAAUCCUGGUCGGACAUCAGGAGGUUAGUGCAAUGGCAUAAGCCAGCUUGACUGCGAGCGUGACGGCGCGAGCAGGUGCGAAAGCAGGUCAUAGUGAUCCGGUGGUUCUGAAUGGAAGGGCCAUCGCUCAACGGAUAAAAGGUACUCCGGGGAUAACAGGCUGAUACCGCCCAAGAGUUCAUAUCGACGGCGGUGUUUGGCACCUCGAUGUCGGCUCAUCACAUCCUGGGGCUGAAGUAGGUCCCAAGGGUAUGGCUGUUCGCCAUUUAAAGUGGUACGCGAGCUGGGUUUAGAACGUCGUGAGACAGUUCGGUCCCUAUCUGCCGUGGGCGCUGGAGAACUGAGGGGGGCUGCUCCUAGUACGAGAGGACCGGAGUGGACGCAUCACUGGUGUUCGGGUUGUCAUGCCAAUGGCACUGCCCGGUAGCUAAAUGCGGAAGAGAUAAGUGCUGAAAGCAUCUAAGCACGAAACUUGCCCCGAGAUGAGUUCU